rnacentral:rRNA from 6 species
UCUUGACCUCGGAUCAGGUAGGGAUACCCGCUGAACUUAAGCAUAUCAAUAA